rfam:Heligmosomoides polygyrus genome assembly, scaffold: HPBE_scaffold0000402
GCGCCGGUGGUGUAAUGGCGUAGAGCAUUGCCGCCCGGUUAGAGGGAGGUGCGGGUUCGACUCCCGCCUGGCGCU